UACGGAGGGAGCAAGCGUUACUCGGAAUUACUGGGCGUAAAGGGCGCGUAGGCGAUUUUGUAAGUCUUGUGUGAAAGCCCAAAGCCUAACUUUGGAAGUGCACAAGAAACUGCGAGAAUUGAGUUCCGGAGAGGAAGAUGGAAUUCCCGGUGUAGCGGUGAAAUGCGUAGAGAUCUGGAGGAAUACCGAUGGCGAAGGCAGCCAUCUGGCCUAACACUGACGCUGAGGUGCGAAAGCAUGGGGAGCAAACAGG
rnacentral:rRNA from 1 species